CUACAGAGGGUGCGAGCGUUAAUCGGAAUUACUGGGCGUAAAGCGCGCGUAGGCGGCUUGGUCAGUCGGAUGUGAAAGCCCCGGGCUCAACCUGGGAAUGGCAUUCGAUACUGCCCGGCUAGAGUAUGGGAGAGGGAAGUGGAAUUUCCGGUGUAGCGGUGAAAUGCGUAGAUAUCGGAAGGAACACCAGUGGCGAAGGCGACUUCCUGGCCCAAUACUGACGCUGAGGUGCGAAAGCGUGGGGAGCGAACAGGAUUAGAAACCCUAGUAGUCC
rnacentral:rRNA from 1 species